AACGCGAAGAACCUUACCUGGGCUUGAACCGCACAGGACCAUUCCUAGAAAUAGGGACUUCCCGCAAGGGACCUGUGUAGAGGUGCUGCAUGGCUGUCGUCAGCUCGUGCCGUGAGGUGUUGGGUUAAGUCCCGCAACGAGCGCAACCCUUACUCGUAGUUGCCACCCGCAAGGGGGAACUCUACGAGGACUGCUCCGGAUAACGGAGAGGAAGGUGGGGAUGAGGUCAAGUCAGCAUGGCCUUUAUGUCCAGGGCUACACACGUGUUACAAUGCGCGCCACAAUGCGUCGCGAACCCGCGAGGGGGAGCUAAUCGCAAAAAAGCGCGCUCAGUUCGGAUUGCAGUCUGCAACUCGACUGCAUGAAGCUGGAAUCGCUAGUAAUGGCGCAUCAGAACGGCGCCGUGAAUACGUUCCCGGGCCUUGUA
rnacentral:rRNA from 1 species